CCGUGCUAGGCGGGGAGCUAGCGGUGCCCUGUACCCGAAAACCGCUAUAGCGGGGCUGAAUUCCUGUUUGAGGUUUACGGCUGGGAAGAGUUGUUCCUGUUGAGCGGUGUUGAUAGUCGGGUUCUAUGCAACCGGGGGGCUAUGAACCCCGUCAGGUCCGGAAGGAAGCAGCGGUAAGUAGUUUACCCGGUGUGACAUGGAGUUGCCUGGCUGGAGCUAGCUGGCAGGAGCUGCUUCCCGGCUUAGGAAUCGAGGGCGGGUGCGCGG
rnacentral:SRP_RNA from 1 species